AUCGGACUUGUUCGUGCAUCGUUUGGUGUUUUGUGCGUGCUUGUUUUCGUUUGAAGUGAAUUUUGCGCGCUAUAAAUGUUAGGAAUGUUGAAUCGGGCAACAGACGAUCGUCGUAAAGUGUUAUUUAGCUUGCACGCGCGCGAUUAUUAGUCUUUCGGCAUUCGUAAAGUUAACCGCGUUUGUCGCGUCGUGUUGAGCAUUAGUCGUGAACGAACGUGAAGCUUUGAGCGUCGGUAUGAAGUUGCAGUUGUAAAGUAAAAUAUUUCUGCAAGGGUGCGCUUCUCAACAGGUAAGAUCAUGGAAGGUAACAGCGUAUGAUGUGCAUAUGACUUCCAAAGUCGAGUUUCUGUAACAAGAUAUACAUGUGAAGCGUAUAUUGAAUGUGCACCACCUGUCCAGUAUAUUAUUUGGCCUGAAGCUUCAAAAUAACAUAAUGCUUGGUAUAGUCGAGACAGCAUUGUUCGAGACAAUUGCGGCCAGCCGAGAUCUGAUGGUCAGCGAAUUAACAACCGUUUUGAUCAACUUUGUGCGCGUAAUCGGUGCUACAAAAUAUAU